rnacentral:rRNA from 1 species
GACGAACGCUGGCGGCGUGCUUAACACAUGCAAGUCGAACGGAAAGGCCCUGCUUUUGUGGGGUGCUCGAGUGGCGAACGGGUGAUUAACCCGUGAGUAACCUGCCCUUGACUUUGGGAUAACUUCAGGAAACUGGGGCUAAUACCGGAUAGGAGCUCCUGCUGCAUGGUGGGGUUUGGAAAGUUUCGGCGGUUGGGGAUGGACUCGCGGCUUAUCAGCUUGUUGGUGGGGUAGUGGCUUACCAAGGCUUUGACGGGUAGCCGGCCUGAGAGGGUGACCGGCCACAUUGGGACUGAGAUACGGCCCAGACUCCUACGGGAGGCAGCAGUGGGGAAUAUUGCACAAUGGGCGGAAGCCUGAUGCAGCAACGCCGCGUGCGGGAUGACGGCCUUCGGGUUGUAAACCGCUUUCGCCUGUGACGAAGCGUGAGUGACGGUAAUGGGUAAAGAAGCACCGGCUAACUACGUG